UCCCUGGUAACUCAGUUGGUAAAGAAUCUGCCUGCAAUGCAGGAGACCCUGGUUCGAUUCCUGGGUUGGGAA
rnacentral:tRNA from 1 species